rnacentral:rRNA from 1 species
ACUCAAAUGAAUUGACGGGGACCCGCACAAGCGGUGGAUGAUGUGGUUUAAUUCGAUGCAACGCGAAAAACCUUACCCACCUUUGACAUGUACGGAAUUUGCCAGAGAUGGCUUAGUGCUCGAAAGAGAACCGUAACACAGGUGCUGCAUGGCUGUCGUCAGCUCGUGUCGUGAGAUGUUGGGUUAAGUCCCGCAACGAGCGCAACCCUUGUCAUUAGUUGCUACAUUUAGUUGGGCACUCUAAUGAGACUGCCGGUGACAAACCGGAGGAAGGUGGGGAUGACGUCAAGUCCUCAUGGCCCUUAUAGGUGGGGCUACACACGUCAUACAAUGGCCGGUACAAAGGGCUGCCAACCCGCGAGGGGGAGCUAAUCCCAUAAAACCGGUCGUAGUCCGGAUCGCAGUCUGCAACUCGACUGCGUGAAGUCGGAAUCGCUAGUAAUCGUGGAUCAGAAUGUCACGGUGAAUACGUUCCCGGGUCUUGUACACACCGCCCGU